rnacentral:rRNA from 1 species
AAAGAGUGCGUAAUAGCUCACUAGUCGAGUGACACUGCGCCGAAGAUGUACCGGGGCUAAGUACAAUACCGAAACUGCGGAUUCACAUUUAUAUGUGAGUGGUAGGGGAGCGUUCCAAGUUGAGUUGAAGGUAGACCGUGAGGACUGCUGGAUUACUUGGAAGUGAGAAUGCCGGUGUGAGUAGCGCAAGAUGGGUGAGAAUCCCAUCCACCGUUUGACUAAGGGUUCCUGGGGCAGGUUCGUCCGCCCAGGGUUAGUCGGGUCCUAAGACGAGGCCGAGAGGCGUAGCCGAUGGACAACAGGUUGAUAUUCCUGUACUACCUAUAAGACUGAUGGAGUGACGGAGAAGGUUAGGAAAAGCCAGUUAUUGGAUUCUGGUCUAAGCACAAAGGCUUAUAAAUUAGGAAAUCUGUUUAUAAUUAAGCUGAAGUGUGAUGGUGAAGUCGCUUGCGACGAAAUUUUCUGACACCAUGCUUCCAAGAAAAGCUUCUAGGGUUAAUCUUAUAGGUACCCGUACUCAGAAUCGACACAGGUGGUCAAGGAGAGUAUCCUAAGGUGAGCGAGAGAACUAUGGUUAAGGAACUCGGCAAAAUAACCCCGUAACUUCGGGAGAAGGGGUGGUCACUAGAUGACCGACACUAAAGACGCCCAGGCAACUGUUUACCAAAAACACAGGUCUCUGCUAAGUCGUAAGACGAUGUAUAGGGGCUGACACCUGCCCAGUGCUGGAAGGUUAAGAGGAGUGCUUAGAUAGACGCAAGUCGAUUAUUCGAAGGUACGAAUUGAAGCCCCAGUGAACGGCGGCCGUAACUAUAACGGUCCUAAGGUAGCGAAAUUCCUUGUCAGGUAAGUUCUGACCCGCACGAAAGGCGUAAUGAUCUGGGCACUGUCUCAACCAUAGACUCGGUGAAAUCUUAAUACCUGUGAAAAUGCAGGUUACCCGCAACAGGACGGAAAGACCCCAUGGAGCUUUACUGUAGCUUGAUAUUGAAGUUCGGUAUAUUAUGUAGAGAAUAGGUGGGAGACUAUGAAGUUAGGACGCUAGUUCUAAUGGAGUCACCUUUGGAAUACCACCCUUAAUGUAUUGAAUUUCUAACCUCGAUCCAUUAUCUGGAUCAGGGACAGUGUCUGGUGGGCAGUUUGACUGGGGCGGUCGCCUCC